CCUACGGGGGGCAGCAGUAGGGAAUUUUGCGCAAUGGGGGAAACCCUGACGCAGCAACACCGCGUGAAUGUUAAGCCCUUCGGGGUGUAAAGUUCUGUCAAUAGGGACGAAUUUUGACUGUACCUAUAAAGGAAGCACCGGCUAACUCCGUGCCAGCAGCCGCGGUAAUACGGAGGAUGCGAGCGUUAUCCGGAUUUAUUGGGUUUAAAGGGUGCGCAGGCGGAGGCACACGUCAGCGGUAAAAUCGCGGGGCUCAACCCCGCUCCGCCGUUGAAACUGUGUCCCUUGAGUGCGCGAAGGGUAGGCGGAAUGCGUGGUGUAGCGGUGAAAUGCAUAGAUAUCACGCAGAACUCCGAUCGCGAAGGCAGCCUACCGGCGCGCAACUGACGCUCAUGCACGAAAGCGUGGGUAUCGAACAGGAUUAGAUACCCUUGUAGUC
rnacentral:rRNA from 1 species